AUUGAACGCGGGCGGCAGGCUUAACACAUGCAAGUCGAGCGAGCGGCGGACGGGUGAGUAAUUUCUGGGAAACUGCCUGAUGGAGGGGGAUAACUACUGGAAACGGUAGCUAAUACCGCAUACCAUCAGAUGUUCCCAGAUGGGAUUAGCUAGUAGGUGGGGUAAUGGCUCACCUAGGCGACGAUCCCUAGCUGGUCUGAGAGGUGGACCAGCCACACUGGCACUGAGACACGGUCCAGACUACUACGGGGGGCAGCAGUGGGGAAUAUUGCACAAUGGGCUCAAGCCGUAUGCAGCCAUGCUGCGUGUGUGAAGAAGGCCGUCCGGUUGUAAAGCACUGUCAGCGAGUAGUCGUUAUUCGCAGAAGAAGCACCGGCUAACUCCGUGCCAGCAGCCGCGGUAAUUC
rnacentral:rRNA from 1 species